UACAGAGGGGGCUAGCGUUGUUCGGAAUUACUGGGCGUAAAGGGCGCGUAGGCGGCCCGCUAAGUCGAACGUGAAAUCCCCCGGCUUAACCUGGGAACUGCGUCUGAUACUGGGAGGCUUGAGUAUGGGAGAGGGAUGUGGAAUUCCAGGUGUAGCGGUGAAAUGCGUAGAUAUCUGGAGGAACAUCGGUGGCGAAGGCGGCAUCCUGGACCGGUAUUGACGCUGAGGCGCGAAAGCCAGGGGAGCAAACGGG
rnacentral:rRNA from 1 species